rnacentral:rRNA from 1 species
CAGCCGCCGCGGUAAUACGUAGGGUGCAAGCGUUGUCCGGAAUUAUUGGGCGUAAAGAGCUCGUAGGCGGUUUGUCGCGUCUGCUGUGAAAUCCCGAGGCUCAACCUCGGGCUUGCAGUGGGUACGGGCAGACUAGAGUGCGGUAGGGGAGAUUGGAAUUCCUGGUGUAGCGGUGGAAUGCGCAGAUAUCAGGAGGAACACCGAUGGCGAAGGCAGAUCUCUGGGCCGUAACUGACGCUGAGGAGCGAAAGCGUGGGGAGCGAACAGGAUUAGAUACCCCUGUAGUCCCUGUCUCUUAUAC